rnacentral:tRNA from 1 species
CGAAAUCAUAGUUUAGAUAGAACAUUAGCUUUGGGAGCUAGAAGCCAAAAAGAUUUUUGUAUUUCGG